UCGACGGGGAGGUUUGGCACCUCGAUGUCGGCUCAUCGCAUCCUGGGGCUGUAGUCGGUCCCAAGGGUUGGGCUGUUCGCCCAUUAAAGCGGUACGCGAGCUGGGUUCAGAACGUCGUGAGACAGUUCGGUCCCUAUCCGUCGUGGGCGUAGGAAAUUUGAGAGGAGCUGUCCUUAGUACGAGAGGACCGGGAUGGACAUACCUCUGGUGUACCAGUUGUCGUGCCAACGGCAUAGCUGGGUAGCUAUGUAUGGACGGGAUAAGUGCUGAAAGCAUCUAAGCAUGAAGCCCCCCUCAAGAUGAGAUUUCCCAACUUCGGUUAUAAGAUCCCUCGAAGAUGACGAGGUUAAUAGGUUCGAGGUGGAAGCGUGGUGACACGUGGAGCUGACGAAUACUAAUCGAUCGAAGACUUAAUCAAUAUU
rnacentral:rRNA from 1 species